rnacentral:rRNA from 1 species
UUUAACGCUGGCGGCAUGCCUUACACAUGCAAGUCGAACGGCAGCACGGGUGCUUUCACCUGGUGGCGAGUGGCGACCGGGUGAGUAAUACAUCGGAACAUGUCCUGUUGUGGGGGAUAGCCCGCCGAAAGCCGGAUUAAUACCUCAUACGAUCUACGGAUGACAGCGGGGGACCUUCGGGCCUCGCGCUAUAGCUUUGGCCGAUGGCUGAUUAGCUAGUUGGUGGGGUAAAGGCCUACCAAGGCGACGAUCAGUAGCUGGUCUGAGAGGACGACCAGCCACACUGGGACUGAGACACGGCCCAGACUCCUACGGGAGGCAGCAGUGGGGAAUUUUGGACAAUGGGCGAAAGCCUGAUCCAGCAAUGCCGCGUGUGUGAAGAAGGCCUUCGGGUUGUAAAGCACUUUUGUCCGGAAAGAAAUCCUUGGCCCUAAUACGGUCGGGGGAUGACGGUACCGGAAGAAUAAGCACCGGCUAACUACGUG